UACAGAGGGGGCAAGCGUUAUUCGGAAUUAUUGGGCGUAAAGGGCGCGUAGGCGGCCUGGCAAGUGGAAGGUGAAAUCCCUCGGCUUAACCGAGGAACUGCCCUCCAAACUGCUUGGCUUGAGUCCGGGAGAGGUGAGUGGAAUUCCCAGUGUAGCGGUGAAAUGCGUAGAUAUUGGGAGGAACACCAGUGGCGAAGGCGGCUCGCUGGGACGACACUGACGCUGAGACGCGAAAGCGUGGGGAGCGAACAGG
rnacentral:rRNA from 1 species